GGCCGGCCUCUUUAGAGAGAAAGGAGAGCAUUGUGUUCUCUCCAAUUUCCUAAAAGAAAAACCCUAAAUGAAUUUUGGCUAUAAAGUCAUAUUUAUACCUUUAUUCAUUGGAGUGGCAAACUUGUAAUUAAAGCAAGUUCACUACCCUCCUCUAAAUAGCCGGCCAUAGGGUUUUGUUUGGGCUUUUUGGGCCUUUGUGAAUUAAGUUGUCAUACAACUUAAGUCAAUGGGUUUGACGUUCGAAGCCCAUUGGGCCUUAAGGUCCAAAACUAUCCCGAGGUCUUUAACGAACUUAUUCGUU
rnacentral:lncRNA from 1 species